rfam:Oryza sativa (indica cultivar-group) chromosome 7, whole genome shotgun sequence.
AAAAAGGCAAACCCUGGGUUUCCGUGUCCAACUUUGACUGUCCGUCUUAUAUGAAAAUUUUUUAUAAUUCGUAUUUUCAUUGUUGUUAGAUGAUAAAACAUGAUUAAUAUUUUAUGUGUGACUUGUCUUUUUAAUUUUUUUUAUAAUUUUUUUAAAUAAGACGGACAAUCAAACAUUGUAUACAGAAACCAGAGUUUGUCUUUUUU